rnacentral:misc_RNA from 1 species
UCCAGCUUAUCGCUGGCGGUCUCCUGCACGUCAAACCCUGGUAAGGUUCUGCGCGUUGCGUCGAAUUAAACCACAUGCUCCACCGCUUGUGCGGGCCCCCGUCAAUUCCUUUGAGUUUCAACCUUGCGGCCGUACUCCCCAGGCGGAACGCUUAAUGCGUUAGCUGCGCCACUGAAUAGCAAGCUACCCAACGGCUAGCGUUCAUAGUUUACGGCGUGGACUAC